rnacentral:rRNA from 1 species
CCCUUAGAUGUUCUGGGCUGCACGCGUGCUACACUGAUAUUGCCAAUAUGUCAUUCUUAUCCGAAAUGGAUUGGGUAAUCAAGUAAUGAAAUUUCAUGCUUGGAAUCGGUAAUUGCAAUUUUAUCGUGAACGAGGAAUUCCUAGUAAGCACUAGUCAUCAGCUAAUGUUGAUUAUGUCCCUGCCCUUUGUACACACCGCCCGUCGCUACUACUGAUUGGGUGAUCCGGUGAGCUGUUCGGCCAUAGCAAUGUUUCUUGAGCAGGGCAAUGAAUGUUUCGCAAACCUUGCCACUUAGAGGAAGGAGAAGUCGUAACA